AAUUAUCUCCCAUGUAUGGAAAGAACUGGUAUGCAACAAAAGUAGCAGUCCCAGCAAAGAAGAAUUUCAGUAACCAUCCAAUCUUCCUUUCAGCUUCCUCUUCAAUGGAGAGCUCAUCUCUGCUUCUGUUGAAAGAUGAGAAAUUGCGAGAUUGAACAUUUGGCGAUUUGCUUCGAGACAGAUAAGUGUUGAGCUGAGCUGCUAACGUGCGC
rnacentral:misc_RNA from 1 species